UACGGGGGGAGCAAGCGUUGUCCGGAUUUAUUGGGCGUAAAGAGUUCGUAGGUGGUCGCUUAAGUCUGAUGUUAAAUACCGAAGCUUAACUUCGGCAUGGCAUUGGAAACUGGGCGGCUGGAGUCCGUCAGAGGUAACUGGAAUUCCAGGUGUAGCGGUGAAAUGCGUAGAUAUCUGGAGGAACACCCGUGGCGAAAGCGACUUCCUGGACCAAUACUGACGCUCAUGUGCGAAAGCGUGGGGAGCAAACAGG
rnacentral:rRNA from 1 species